GCUAUCACUUCCGGUUUCGGACUUCUGGGUUACGAUCCUGUCACUUCCGGUUCGCGGCAGUGCGCUUGUAUCGGCAAACAAGCGGAUGCUUUUCUCAUAUGCUCGUGGGGCACAAAAAAAGUGAGUCUUAAGCAGUAGUCUGGUCCUCUCACCCUCUGCCACAUGCUAAAGGUCCAUGGGGGUGGGGGUGGGAGGGGGGGCGGCAGUUAGACUCACGGACGCAGCAGCUAGAGACCACACAGCUGACAGUUUUGCUUUCUUCUCUCACAUGAGAGAAGCUCAGCUCACCUAGUACUGUACUAAACAAAGUCUUUACAUGCUGUUGCAAUAAUUGAUUAUACUGCAUAUACACACUGUAUUACUUUAAUACAGGGCUGCAUUAUAAUGUUUACUUUUAUGACAUACUGUCUGCAUAUCUAAUGUAUACCUAUCACAUACCACUGGCUGCAUACUAAUAUAUACUUAUCACAUACCACUGGCUGCAUAUUAAUGUAUACUUAUCACAUACCACUGGCUGCAUACCAAUGUAUACUUAUCACAUACUACUAGCUGCAUACUAAUGUAUACUUUAUUACAUAUUACUAGCUGCAUACUACUGUAUAAUUACCACAUACUACUGGGCUACUUGAUAACGUAUCAGUUUAUGACAUAUUACUGUCUGUAUACUUAUCACAUACUACUGAGCGGCAUACCAAUUCAUACUUUUUUACAUACUUGCUGCAUACUACUGAAUACUUAAGCACAUACAACUGGGCAGUAUACUGAGUAUACUCUUAUUGCAUACUACUGAGCUACAUACUACCGUAUAACUGUUAUUACAUACUACUUGCUCGGUACUACUGUAGAAUUUUGCAUACGACGUGCAGCAAACUAUAGUACUCUACUAUACUACAUACUAAUGGGCUACACUACGUGGCUUUCCCACUACGGUUUCAUAUGGUAUUACUUACUAGGGUGUUACAUACUUCGGUGUUCUUGAUACUAUAUGACAGGUUUACAUACUACAAUGUUAUAUGAGUACUAUAUGGCAUAAGUGUCCUUCGACAGGCUGCUGUGUUUCAUGCCACGAUAAUACGGAGUGGCAUACUGCAGCAUGACGGGCUUCUAUAUGACAUACCGCAGUAAUACAUGAUCAUGUGGGCACGUUGCUAUAAAGCAUAUUUUAUGGUACGUGCUACGAUGAUACAUGCUGAUAAAGACGUGCGGCCACUUGCAUGUUAUGGCAGUACGUGCCGCUGGGUUUAAGAUUACACUAUGUUCACAUUCAUUACGUUCAGUUAAUCUAUAUAGUCAAGUACCAACUACACAUCUGCAUUAGAUAUGGAUCAGCUUUAGGUUAAAGGUUUACGUGUUUACUAAGUCUCUUGCUGGCUUCAAAUUUGGUCUGUUCUAUGGCGCCAUUUUAACAGUACUGUUCAAAAGCUAGUAUGGCAGAGAUCACUUUACUUAUUUCUCUAUGCUUACUUUUCAGGUUCAAGUUGACUCAUAUCAACUACGUUCAUUGCUAUCAAAUCUUUAUUUAACAUUGUCCAGUAAGUAAGGGGUACUCUUAGCAUUGAAGGGAAGUACGUUUUUACUCUGUAACAUAUACUCUUCUCUAUGGUCACUAGGUUAAACCUUGCUUAUACUAGAUUAGUGGUGGAAGUCUCAGGUGCUCUGUUGGGUUGUGACCAAUUUUCUGACCUAACAACAAGUGGGUCUCAGGUACCUUUUGCCUAAACAUCCCCCCUCCUUAAAGCUUAUGAUUUAGUGUUACUGGCUUAUCUAGGAUAGACGGCCACUAGUAAAUUAUCUGGGCUUCUUCGCCUUAGUAGUAGUGGUCCCGCGAGGCCAACCCAUUUCCUCCACGCUUGAGGACGUUCGCACCUCGGGCCAAAUCAUAGAGAGCGCCUCACUUGUCACUCCCUUUCUAUAUUAUGCAUUUUAGUCGUCAUCGAGAGGCCAACACCCCACCACAACGUUUCGGUGGCAACAAUUCCCUCACGCCAAUCGAUAGAGCAUCUCAAGCCACUUGGCAACUAGCAGGGCCUCACCUGUCACCACACUUAGGAAAUUGUUUUGCCGUCCGGCAUUAGCUAGCCAGCCAGUAACCAAAGAUGGUACAAUGGCUGAUGGUUUUGAUUAUUUCCUUUUAGUAUGUCACAUCUACCGAAUGACACAGACAAUUUGUCUCUACCCAGUUCUCCGGCCAAAUCCUUCCCGUAAAGGCGACGUUGGGAGUCCAACUUCAAUAAGGUCAUGGACCAUCCCUCACAUUAUUGCAAAACUCCGGAGACGCAGCAUUCCUUUUCCUGCCAUGGCCAGGAAAGCUGAGCUCUACAAAUUGAUGCGGACUCAUACUGAUAACUCGGGGGCGGGAGAGGGCACAAGUGGUACGGCAACUCAGACCUACAUGCCAUGGUCGCUUCGCUAGUAGCAUCCAUGAGCAAUUUCAACGAUAGACUGGACAGGAUCGAGGUUCGGAGCCCUCAUGUCAGGUCUUCCAGACCCUCGACUGCCUUACUCCCCAAUGCUCCAUAAUUGGGUAAUUAUGUGCCUUCUGGUUCCGAAACUCACAUUAUCAAUCCUGUGCACAUGGUCCCAGAUAAGAUUAAGAAAGACAUCUUGGAGGGGAAGGAUGUCAAUCUUGUGGCAUUACUUAUUGCUUCUCACGAUGUCAUUGAUAACCGCACUUAUGCUUAUGGUGAUAUUUCGGUGGUGUUGAAAGCCAGGGACCCUAGAUUGUAUAAGAAACUAUCCAUAACUGAUUUUGUCUUGGCUUUUGGUAUGUAUUGUGAUGUAAUUUGUUCUGUUUUUCCGCAUAGACGAGAGAAACUCGACCUCUACGUGCACAAGCUGGUGGACUUGGGAAGCAAAUAUGGUGGGUCAUCCUUUUAUCCUUUUAUGACUAUCACCAAUCCUUUUCGGCAAGAGCGGCUGCAAUAUUGGCUCAGUAUAAUGUCAAAACUGAUUGAACCCGUAUGGAUACUGAGCUAUUUUGCUGGUCUCAAGACACCAGCUUGUGCGGUUUGUGCUUCAACAUCACAUUCCUCGGACUAUUGUCCCACUAUACCAGAGUCCACACCUGGGACUUUACGUGAACCACAAACCAGGCAAGGACAAGCUCGGUCGCCCUAUCGUUUACCUGGGAAAGUCUCAGGUCUGUAAUAACUUCAAAGUAGGUACCCGUGGUUAUAAUGCCUGCAGGUUGUUACAUGUGUGUUCACAUUGUUUUAGGGCACACGCCAAGUCCAUGUGUCCCAAUAAAAGUCAUACUAAACCAUACUUGACAUCCGUAAAGAUUGGUUCUUUGGCUCACACAUUAGCCUCUCACCCAUCCAAACACCUAGUGGAUUUUUUGAUAGAUGGUUUCACGGAGGGAUUCCAUACAGGUUUGGUUCAUAUCCCUGCUGGCAUUUAUGAAUGCAACAAUUUACAGUCGGCAUUUGCAAAUGUGGAAAUGAUUGAUGCUCUGUUACACAAAGAAUUGGAGGAUGGGUUCUUAUUGGGACCUUUUCUCAAGCCCCCAUUUUCCAAUUAGCGAACCAGGACUUGUCACUGGGAAAUCCUCAGGGAAACACAGACUUAUUUUAGACCUAACGCCUUGGCCAUACCAAGCCUUAAUUCCCUAAUUCCAUCCAAGGAAUUUUCACUUGAGUACGCCACUAUAGACAGCGCUAUACACACCUGGCAUAGCGGCUUGGUUCAGUAAAACUGACAUCGUCAAUGCGUUUAAAUUACUACCCAUUCACGCGUCACUAUGGCAUCUGCAUGGUUUAAAAUGGAAAGGUGUCUAUUAUUUUUUCACAAGACUCAUGUUCGGGUCAAAAAGCAGCCCAAAAAUAUUUGACACCUUUUCCGAAACCUUUUGUUGGCUGCUGUUAAACAUUUGCAGAUGUCAGGCCGUUAUACAUUAUCUGGACGACUUUCUGUUCGUGGAGAAUAAUUCCUCUUCCCCCAGUGAUCUGACAAAGGCCAUAUAAUUUUUUUCAUUCUUUGGGGGUGCCAGUGUCCUCCAAGAAAACAGAGGUCCCUAACACGUUAGUUAAUUUCCUAUGUAUCGUGCUUUAUUCAGUGAACAUGGAAGCGAGCCUACCCCCAGGUAAAAUUGACAGCAUACUACGAUCCAUUAACUAAUUUUUGGUUAAUAGGACAUGUAAUAGGAAGGAAUUGCAAUCUUUGUUGGGAUCGUUGAAUUUUGCUAUACGAAUCAUCCCGCAAGGCAGGGCCCUUUAUUUCUAGACUCCUUUGCCCCAUCCCUCUCAUACCAAAUGACGUUACCCGUAUAUGAGCUUGGAUGCACAGGCUACAGCUGAUUUGCUAUGUGGCGCAAAUUCUUGUUGCAGUGGAAUGGCAGAAGCAUGUUUUUGCCUCCAUUGUCUGUCCACUCUCCGGUCAUUUGGACAGAUGCGGCAGCAUCAACAGGUUUUGCUGACAAAGCAAAUAAAAAUGGUAUAUACAAAUUGAAUACACAUGGAAAUGGGGGAGGUCAUAUUUAUCUUAGAAAGUCAGUUUGAAGACUAAAUGAUUCCUUAUGUCUGUGGUUAAAUGGACACUAUAGUCACCAGAACAAUUACAGCUUAUUGCAUUUGUUCUGGUGAGUAGAAUCAUCCCCUUCAGGCUUUUUGCUGUAAAUGCUGUCUAUUCAUAGAAAAUGCAGCGUUUAAAUUACAGCCUAGUGAUAGCUCCACUGGCUACUCCUUAGAUGGCUGCUAGGGAUGCUUCCUUGGGCAGUGCUGCACAGUGAGCUGCACUGCCAUUCAGUGUUUCCACCCUCUGCAUACAGACACUGAAAUUUUCUGUAUGUAUUGAUUCAAUUCAUCUCUAUGGGGAGAUGCUAAUUGGUCAUGGCUGUGUUUGACUUGUACUGGCUCUGCCCCUGAUCUGCCUCCUUGACAGGCUAAGCAAAUCCUAUGAUUGGCUCGGACCACCAUUCUGAUUAUGUCAGCAGGCAGGUCAGAGGCAGACAGGGACAAAGCCAGCAAUUGCAGACUUGAAUUCAAGUAAGAAAUAUUUUAAAAAUAUAUUUUACUAUAUUUAGGGAGGCAAGGGGGAUCAGGGGGGCUAGAUGGUGGUUUUAACACUAUAGGGUCAGUAAUACAUGUUUGUGUUCCUGACCCUAUAGUGUUCCUUUAAAUAAUUCAUAAAGGCUUAAAGGGUCACUGCAGACCCCUAAACAGCUUUAGCUUGCUGAAAAGCUUUAUGUGUGAAGGGUUCGUCCUCUUUAACAGUGCAGAUUUCAAGAAUUUGACACUUUUAUAAAUUGUACUGGUUACACCCCGUUGGCUUUUUAAACAGACAACAGGUCCUGGUUUCGUUAACACAAUGCAGAUUAUGUCAAGAGGCAGCUGUAGCCCAGAGCAUCUGACUUACAAAGACUUCUCAUUGACCUGUAUUGGGAAGUCUGUGAUAGGACUGCAACAGAAAGUCUGGGUGGGGUUGGAAGGGGAAAACUUACAAAGGCAGCAGACAAGAGAGCUGCAAGUUUUGCAAGCUGAUUUUACAUAUAUCCCCAAUGAAAAAAUACAUAAUUAAAUGCAUUAAUGUUUUCAUUUGGGGUAUAUCUACCAAACAUUGAUUUUAUUUAUUUUGCAUUUAAGCAGUGGAGUGUCCCUUUAACCCCUUAACACCGUUACGGUGUUCUAUGCCGUCCCCAUUAUAAUGGGCUUUAAAGCCGGUGCGGCGGCAUAAAACGCCGUAACGGCUUGCAGCCACAGGGGGUGAGAUUUUCUUACCUCCGCCGCGAUCCUCUUCGGGAGGACUGCCUGACAGCCCAGGCAGCCCUCCCCCGGCAAAUCAGGCCCCGGGGGGCCAUGUGACUGCUCUCAAAGAGCGAUCACAUGGCCCCCUAUAGCUGGCUGUGAACCUGCCAGCAGGGGGCUGUCUGAAAUGUCAGACAGUCCCCCUUCUGCUAGGAAGAGUAAAAAAAAAAUGAUUAAACAGGUUUUGAAAUAAAAUAAAUGUGUAUAUAUAUAUAUAUAUAUAUAUAUAUAUAUAUAUAUAUAUAUAUAUAUAUAUAUAUAUAUAUAUAUAUAUAUAUAUAUAUAUAUAUAUACACAUCUUAUAUAUGUAAAGUCAUACGUAGUGUAUUUUUAUGUUAAUACAAGUACAUAUAUUAGUAUUAAAAUACAUUUAGAAUGACGUUAGUGUGUGUGUGUAUAUAUAUAUAUAUAUAUAUAUAUAUAUAUAUAUUACAUCUAUAUAUGUAUAUACACAUAAUUACAAUAAUAAAAUAUAAAUAAAAUAUUUAAAAAAAUUAAAACAAAUUAUAUAUACAUAUGUAAUUUCAUUCUAACUGUAUUUUGUUAUUAAUAUAUAUAUAUAUAUAUAUAUAUAUAUAUGUAACAAAAUACACUUAGAAUGACAUUCUAUAUCUAUCUAUCUAUAUAUAAAAUACAAAUAACCGCAAAUAUAUAUAUAUAUAUAUAUAUAUAUAUAUAUAUAUAUAUAUAUAUAUAUAUAUAUUUACAUAAAUAACUACAUACGUAGAAUUUAAAUACAUAUAUGUAUGUGUGUGUGUAUAUAUAUAUAUAUAUAUAUAUAUAUAUAUAUAUAUAUAUAUAUAUAUAUAUAUAUAUAUUAAAAUUCUAUGUGUAUAUUUAAGUAAUUGUAACGGAUCACCUGGCACCCAGACUGGGUACCUCCGUUGAAGGAUGCUCCUAGCGCUUCCUGAGGGCUCCAAGCGCUCCGCCAGACACCACAACCACCGUAGUCCCCACGAACCGCCACAGCUUGGUUGGGGUCUCGCCGUUUCCUACCCACCCUGGACCUACGACAAGGCUCCAGGUUCCAGUGGGUGAACCUCUCCUCCAAGAGAUUGGAGCAAGAACAAGUUCUUACAAGAGCUUAGUAGUGAUUAGCUAAGGGAGUAUGCAGAGCAUAGCAAUCCCUUGUAGUGAUAUAGCAAUUCCCCUAAUAAGAGACAGGACUCUAGAUUGAGGGUGAAGUAGAACUGUCUGUACUGGCACAUACAGCCUCUUUUAUUCACAUUCUACAAACAUAGUACUGCCCACAGGGUUUUGAAGAACAACCAAUCAACACAUUACAAUACAGCUAACACUCCCAUUCAUUACAUCAGAAAUCCUCCCUUCUGCCUGUGAUACAAUUAUCUCAACACAAUAGACUAACUUAAUUAUCACAGGCAGGAAAAUACAGUAUCAUAAAACAUAUUACAGGGACCCCAAAACAUGCAAUAACCCCAUAAAAAUAUCCUCGGAACCAGGGGAUCUGGGUGAACCACAUAUCCAAAAUUCACCUAGAUCCGUUUAGUAGUUUGGAAGAUAUGGUUUAAUGCAGAUUCCGCAGAACAUAUACAGGCUAUAUGAAAAAUAAUUACUGUUAAAUGUGUCCCCUGUUCUGUAGUUUAAAACUACUGAACGAUGUCUUUGUGCACCAAAUACCGGCGAGAUGACACCGUGUAGAAAAGUCAAAACAGUGUCUGUGAGUUAAAAUGGCCAUCAUCCAUUGUUCUCACCAUGUGCCUCUGAUGCAUGAAAUGGUGGCCACCCAGUAACUCCACAGUAUGUUCCCUGGGGGGUACUGUUUUAUUUAGUAGACUUCGCUGAACACAAACAUUAGUGUUUCAAAAUGGUAACUUGUAUUAUAACAAUGAUAUUUUUAGUAAAAGUGAAGUUUUUUGCAUUUUUCACACAUAAACUGCACUUUUACUGUCGAUAUUAUUGUUGUAAUAUGUUUUACUGUCACUGGCCAAAUAUUAGUUUUUUCACACAAAAACAAAUAUGAACGCUAAAUUUGGCCAGACUUUGUGACUAAGUGGCUACUAAAAAAAGACUGGACAUACCCCACUUGCAAUACCUUGGGUAGUCUAUGUUUGCAAAUGGUAUGCCAUCAUGGGGGUAUAUCUCAUUCCUGGGCUACCACACGGUCUCAAACGUAACAUUACUAAUCUAGCAAAUUUCAAUGUGAAAAACCUGAAAAAUGGAAUAUGCUAUAUUUGACCCUGUAACUUUCCAAAACACCGUAAAAAAUGUUAAUGGGGGCUACUGUUGUACUUGUGAGACUUUGCUGAAUCCAAAUAUGUGCUCUUUGUGCAGCAAAAACCAACAGUAUUAUGACAUUUACAGAUAAAAUGUGAGGCGGAACUACAAAUUUAAAAAAACAAAUUUAAUUUCUCACAGUUUUUUUUAUUUUUAUUCAUAAUACAUUAUGUUUCAUAUAUGAAUAAUUCAUGUGAAAUUAAAGCCCUGUUUCUCCUGAACAAAAUGAUAUCUAAUAAGUGUGGGUGCAGUUAAUAUGAAAGAGGUGAAUUGCGGUUGAACAGACAUAGAGCGCAAAUUCCAGUUUUUGUUUACAUUUUGUUUGGAUCAGAACGUGUACUAUUGACUCCGUCCUGAACGGGUUAAACAUUGUGUACUAUUGACCCCUUCAGUACGGCGUCAAUAGUGCACGUUCUGAUCCAAACAAAAUAUAAACAAAAACUGGAAUUUGCGCUAUAUGUCUGUUCAACCGUAAUUCACUGCUGUCACAUUAAGUGCACCCACACUUAUUAUAUAUUAUUUUGUUCAGGAGAAACAGGACUUUAAUUUAUCAUUAACUAUUCAUAUAUGGAACAUAAUUUAUUAUGAAUAAAAUUUAAAAAAAUGUGAGAAAACAAGAUUUUUUUUAAAUUUGUAUUUCCGUCUGACAUUUUAGUUGUGAAUGUCAUAAUACUGUUAGAUUUUAUUGCAAAAAAAUUUGUAAUCAGCGAUGUCUCACGAGUACAACAGUACCCCCCAUUAAAGGACCACUAUAGUGCCAGGAAAACAUACUCGUUUUCCUGGCACUAUAGUGCCCUGAGGGUGCCCCCACCCUCAGGGACCCCCUCCCGUCCGGCUCUGGAAGGGGGUUAAAACUUACCCUUUUCCAGUGCUGGGCGGGGAGCUCUCCUCCUCCGAUCCUCCUCUUCCUUGUCGGCUGAAUGCGCACGCGGCAAGAGCUGCGCGCGCAUUCAGCCGGUCACAUAGGAAAGCAUUCAUAAUGCUUUCCUAUGGACGCUGGCGUGCUCUCACUGUGAAAAUCACAGUGAGAAGCACGCAAGCGCCUCUAGUGGCUGUCAAUGAGACAGCCACUAGAGGAAAUAGGGGAAGGCUUAACCCAUUCAUAAACAUAGCAGUUUCUCUGAAACUGCUAUGUUUAUGAAAAAAUGGGUUAACCCUAGAAGGACCAGGCACCCAGACCAUUUCAUUAAGCUGAAGUGGUCUGGGUGCCUAGAGUGGUCCUUUAACAGGUUUUAUGGUGUUUUGGAAAGUUACAGGGUCAAAUAUAGAACGUUCCAUUUUCAAAUUGAAAUUUGCCAGAUUAGUAAUGCUACCUUUGAGACGGUGUGGUAGCCCAGGAAUGAGAAUUACCCCCAUAAUGGCAUACCAUUUAAAAAAGUAGACAACCCAAGGUAUUGAAAGUGGGGUAUGUUUAGUCUUUUUUAGUAGCCACUUAGUCACAAACACUGGCCAAAGUUAGCGUUCAUAUUUGUUUUUGUGUGAAAAAAGCAAAAAACUAAUAUUUGGCCAGUGUUUGUGACUAAGUGGCUACUAAGAAAGACUGGACAUACCCCACUUGCAAUACCUUGGGUUGUCUACUUUUGCAAAUGGUAUGCCAUCAUUGGGGUAAUUCUCAUUCCUGGGCUACCAUACGCUCUCAAAGGCAACAUAACCAAUCUGGCAAAUUUCAAUGUCAAAAAAAUGAAAUGCAAGCCUUAUAUGUGACUCUCUAACUUUCCAAAACACCAUAAAACCUGUACAUGGGGGGUACUGUUAUUCUCGGGAGACUUCACGUAACACAAAUAUUAGUGUUUUAAGCCGUAAAACAUAUUACAACAAUAAUAUAGUCCAUAAAAGUGCCGUUUGUUUGUAAAAAAUGCAAAAAAUUUCACUUUUACUUAAAAUAUCAUCAUUGUAAUACAAUUUACCAGUUUGAAACACUAAUAUUUGAGUUCAGCAAAGUCUCCCGAGUAAAACAGUACCCCCUAUGUACAGGUUUUAUGGUGUCUUGGAGAGUUACAGAGUCAAAUAUAGUGCUUGCGGAUUAAAUUCUCUGCACUUUCUCCCUGUGUUGUCAGGCAUGUCAAUAAAAUUUUAAUUAAUCAAAUGACAUAAUUAUGUUAAAAGAUUACUUAAAUAUACACGUAGAAGUUUAAUAUAUAUGCAUUUAUAGGUAUUUAAAUUUUAUGUGUAUACUAAUGUAAUCUUUUAUGUAAUUAUAUGUAUAUGUAUAUAUAUAUAUAUAUAUAUAUAUAUAUAUAUAUAUAUAUAUAUAUAUAUAUAUAUAUAGAAUGUCAUUCUAAGUGUAUUUUGUUUUUUAUAUAUAUAUAUUAAUAACAAAAUACAGUUAGAAUGAAAUUACAUAUGAAUAUAUAAUGUAUAUUAAAUUGUUUCAAUAUUUUAUUUAUUAUUAUAAUUAUACUAUAUAUAUAUAUAUAUAUAUAUAUAUAAACAUCAUUCUAAGUGUAUUUUAAUACUAAUAUAUGUACUUCUAUUAAUAUUAAAAUACACUUUGUAUGACGUUACAUAUAUAUAUAUAUUAUGUGUUAUUAUAUAUAUAUAUAUAUAUACAUAUAUAUAUAUAUAUAUAUAUAUAUAUAUAUAUAUAUAUAUAUAUAUAUAUAUAUAUAUAUAUAUAAUCUAUUGUAAUUUAAACAUGUUUAAUAUUUUUUUUUUUUUUUACUUUCCACCAGCAGGGGGACUGUCUGACAUUUCACACAGUCCCCCUGCUGGCAGAUCCACAGCCAGCUAUAGGGGGUCAUAUUUGGCGGGGGAGGGCUGUCUGGGCUGUCAGGCAGCCCUCCAGAAGAGGAUCACGGCGGAGGUGAGUACCGUGGACCUCCAGGGGCAGAAAGCCGUUACGGCGUUCUAUGCAGCCGCAACGGCUUUAAAGCCCUUUUAAUGCGGGACGGCAUAGAACGCCGUAACGGCGUUAAGGGGAUAAUUUGCUAAAAAAAAAAAAGCUAAAACAAAUAAAUAAAAUAAAGCUAAUAUCAUGUCAGUGUAUUUCUGAUUUUUAUUUUAGUUAUACAAGACUGAAACAUUAAAAAUAGUAUUAUUGUUUGUCUCUAGGUGACACCUUUCCCAGCAAACUGUGAACUGCAAGGGGAGUGUGCUUGUCUGGAUCCCAGUGCCAAAGAGAACGUUCAAAAGGGUCCACACCCACUCAACAUUGGAUAGGAAUGUGAAGCUUUGGACAAAACUACAAGGCAGGCUGGAAUGGGCAAUAUAUGCCCUCUGGAAUUAAUUUAAUAUUUGCUGCUGAGCAUGAUGGCACUGCAGCAUCAGUGACAUUAAUGAGUCUACCAAUCCAAAUCUGCGAAAGAUGGGAUUUAGAACAAUAUUAUUCCCGUCAUUUGAAGAAAGCAAUCAAUUAUGCAAAUAUGAAAAAAUGAGUACUUCCACCACCAUAACAUCUUACAUUUAUUUAAGUUGUUCUGUGGCAAACUUCUGUCUCCUGGCUUCUGUUCCACUCUUCUGGCUAGUACAGGGAAGGGAUAGCCAGUUGGCUGCUGAUAGGCAGAGUGUCAGUUGAUGUUCUCAGCAUAUCAAUGGGUGCCCAUUGAGAAAAAUAGCAUGUACAAAUUUCAUUUGGUGCCAGUUGAUAGGUUGAGAGUUUCAGCUGAUUUGCUUAGCCUAUCAGCAGCUGCCCAGCUACCCCUUCCUCACAUAGACCAGCGGAGAGAAGUAUUCCUGUCCCAUAAAAACUUAAAUAAGCUUAAUUUGUUGUGACCUGGGAGUGUUCCUUUAAAGCUGUGUUAUUGCUAGAUGAAGGUGAAAUGCAAGCCAUACACACAUAUAGUAAAACCAUGUUGACUGUAUAUAUCAGUCAUUUCCUUACAGAUGCUUUCAACUGAUUGUAAUGAGGACUUAUGGUAAAACAGAAAAUUGUUGCCAUACUUACCGUAAGUUUCUUUUCCUGGCUAUUAUCCAUGUCAGCAGUGGUGUAUCCUGGGUUUGAGCUGCCCUAGGCAGGACAAAACUCAGGGGUCCCCCUUCCCCCCACCCAACCCUUCCCCGCCUGCCCUGCCUUCUAAAUACACACACACACACACACACACACACACAUUCACUGACAGAUACGCAUACACUAGCUAACAGACAAACACACAUUCACUAACAGACAAACACAGACACACAUUCACUCAGUAACAGACACACACACUAACUGACACACACACACUAACAGACACACACACUCACUCACACAUACAGACACACACACUAACAGACACUCACUCACAUUAACACACUCACUUUUUUUUAAUUAUUUAACCCCACCAGCCUCCUUACAUUUGGGAAUCCUGGGGGGGUUUCUCCCUUUCCCUGGGGCUGCCGUGCGGGCGGUGCUGGCGAGGGUGCACUUUCCCCUGAGCUGUCUGCUCAGCUCCCUCGCGCGCCGCCCGCAGAGUGAUGCCGGGAGCCGGAAUAUGACGUCAAAUAAAAAGUGCACCCUCGCCAGCGCCGCCCGCCCGCCUGGACUGUUAGCCACAAGGCUAACAAAGCAUUUGCCCUGGGCAUUUGGGGGCAGCUUUUUUUGCAGCCCCCUGGAAAAUGCCGCCCAAGGCAAAUGCCUUGUUUGCCUCACGGCUAAAACGUCCCUGCAUGUCAGCAUCACCUAUGGGUUAAGCUCCUCCCUCUCAGCUGACCUCCACAUAUCCAGCAGCCUCAUAAUUAAGUCAGUCCAGACAGUGGAAGGGAUCGUUUAUGCUGGCAUGGAUAAUAACCAGGAAAAGAAAAUUACGGUAAGUAUGGAUACACUUUUCUAUUAUCCUGGCUAAUCCAUGUCAGAAUCACCUAUGGGAUUUCCAGAAUGUACAAACGGGAGGGAGGGUAAUAAAUAAAAAAAUGCACGAAUUCAAUGAAAAUCUAAUUUUAAUGUAAACAGUAAUGGCAGCAUCAAGGACUUUCCUCCCAAAAGAGGAGACAGAGGAGCCUGUAACGUCUAAACGGUAAUGCCUCACAAAUGUGUUGGAGGAAGACCAGGCAGCAGAUAUACAUGUAGCGAUCUGAUCACAUCCAAGGUGUGCCAAAUGGAUUCUUCUUCAGAUGAAGGAUUCUUAUAGAAGAAAGGCAAAAUAAUUUCUUGAUUCAGAUGGAAUUUUGAGAGGACUUUAGGAGUAAAUUCCAGAACCAAUCUUAGAACUGCCUUAUCUUCCAAGAUUUGAGUGAAUGGAUGUUCAGACAAAAGGGGUUGGAGUUCAGAAGCCCUUCAAGCAGGCGUGAUAGCAAUUAGAAAUAAUUUUUUCAAAGUCAAAUCCCAUAGGGAUUCAAAUGGUGCACUAGUUAAACUGUGUAGCACUGUUGGUAGAUCCCAUGCUGGAUUGAAAUUUUUAAUUGGUGGUCUGAUUUUCAUGGUCCCCUUUAGAAAUUGCUUGACUGUAGGAUCUAGAGCCCAUUGGACAUUAGAUAUGACCGAGAAGGCAGAUAAUUGAACCUUCAGGGAGCUGAGACUCAAUCAUUUUUCUAUUCCCUUUUGUAAAACUUCUAACAAGUUAGAAAGGUUUAUUGAAACUGAAUCUUUACCCAUCCUAUAGUACACUUUGGAUGUCCAGAGAGGUCCAAUAUCUUCAAUUACUAUGCACUAACAUAGCAAUUUGAACCCAAGGAGUCCCACAGUGCUUGGGCUGUAUCUGGGUUCUUCCCUGGGGAGAGAGGCUGAACUCCCCAUAUGUGCCAUAAUGAAAAACUAAUUUCUAACAGCUGGAGGACAGGAAAAAAGACUGCUGGUUAUGGGGAGGUGACUCUCUUAUAUAACAUUAUUUUAAGAUUCCUGUCCUAUCAGCUGAGAGGAAGGAGCUUAACCCAUAGGUGAUGCUGACAUGGAUUAGCCUCCUGCUUACAAUGUCUGAUUGUAAACAUUUGUGAGCUUUUCUCUAACUACAAGACAGAAAUAUAUUGAAUCAAUGACAGUUUAGAAAAAAAAUUACCUUAUUCAUUCUUUUUUCACAGUAAUUAGCAGGAGUAGAAGUUUACAUUAAUGAUAGAAUUUCAAUAGUGGUUGUUGGUUCAAAAGCCUGAAUAAGGAGAUGGCUAUUCAUUUUUUUUAUAUAUAUAUUUCUACUUUGUGAAAAUGUGUCUCAUCAAGACAAAGCAGUAUGCAAAAAUAUAUAGUAUGACGUAUUGUUAAAUUGACUCUUGGUACCCAAAGCUGUAAUAAAAUUGCUGAUCAAAGGGAGUAAUUAAGACGAUUAGGAGCCAAGAGAUCCUACAAAUAUCUAAGGGCCUUCCUUUUGUAUAAAUAUAAAAGUCACCAAAACCCCCAAAAUGUUUGAAUAUAACCAAUGCUGCUAUUCCUGCUGCUAUGUUCCACAUAACUGUAUCCUGUGUCAAAACUGAGUGAAAUCAAUCCUAACAGUGACUCUGCCUUUACGUUUAUAUGUAGCCUGCAAUUGCACCCUCAGGUAUCACCCUUACCAUAAAUUUAUAUGAACUAUUUUACAGUCAUACACUUAAGAUUUGCAUGUCCCUUAUGAACAUGUCUGCUAAAGUUGUGAUAAACCUGGUGUUAAAUAAAAUGUCCAAUAUCACACGGAAUCUCCUCCAACAAACUGAAUAAUAGGGUUGUAAUAUUAAAUAUGUUUUAUCCGUAUUAAAAGUGGAUUAUACCACAAAACAUUUAAUUUCCAAGCUAAGCCUUAUUGAUGUUGUGGCUAGAUAAUAUAAUAACCAUACCACACUGAUUUAAGUACAUUUUCACAUAUACUUUACUACAAUAAAGAACACACAAAUUUUCCAUUCACAGCAGCUCUGUCAUAUUGUGUUUUCAAGACACUCUAGAAUAUUGUGCUUAAUAGCAAAUAAUCACAUUUUGCUUCAUCACUUGUUAUAUUAUCUGCCCAUUUUGUUGCAGGAUUCAUUAGUAAAGAUCUACUAUAAAUUGACCAAAAAAGCCUCAUCCGCACACAAAGAUAAGUGGAAUUUCAGUGUGUAUGCUUAUUCUAAGAACUUGUUUUUUGUUUUUAAUUUUGCCAUUACUAAUAUCACAACUAUAUCUAAAAAUCUCACAGAGUGUAAAGCCCACAAAUAGUCACAUUUCAGUUGUGCAUUAAAUGAAUGUCAGUUUCCUUAAAGGAACUGAACACCUGAUGUUGUUAUGCAGCUUUGAGCGUCUCUUCAAUGUGUUACUAUGCUACACUUAGUGUUAAAAUAUAUAGCCAAGAGGAAAAUUGUGUGAGUGAGAGACUAACGACUUAAGUAUUAUCUCCACUCUCCUGCAAGGUUAGGGCAUUUCCUGAGGGUGUUUUCAGGUCAGUUUUCAACUACCUCCCUUCUGGUUUCAGCUUCACUGAUUUGUAUAACUAUAAAUAUGUUUUAUAACAUUUCCUGUGUUUUAUGGUUUAAAAAAAAAAAAAAUGCUACAAAUGAAAUAACUGACAUACUUAAAAACUGCUUGUUUCAAAACAAACACAUGCAGAAAUUAUAUGUUAGGUAAUAAUAUGAAUUAGUGACAAAAACUAGAGAGUAUAUUCCAUGUUGUCAGCACCUCUCAUAUGGUGUUAGUACAAAGCAAGUUAUGUAAAGGAUUUAUUAUUAACAUCUUUAGAGGCUAAUAAUUAAAUAUAUUGUGUAUUCUGUAUGUCCUUAAAACCUUAUAAAGAGCAAGGAUAUAUGCUUACAUUUCAGCAGGUUUUUCAUUGAGUUCUAGUUACUAUAUACAGAGUCCAAAUUCCUUACAGUCAUAAUAAUCAAUAAAAAUUGCAAUAAUAAUGAAUAUGCAGAAAUGCAUAAAAAAUUUGAGUGACUAAGAACACUGCUCAGCUGUAUGUUAUGCAUUAUCUUUAGAAGCGUGUGGACCCUAACAAAACAAGUUAUAUGAUUUAUUUGAGCAGUACCUGGCCUGUAAAUUGAAAGAUAGCCUGGAUGUACCGUAUUUUUCGCUCCAUAAGACGCACCUCACCAUAAGACGCACCUAGUUUUUAGAGGAGGAGACCCAGAAAAAAAAAAUAUUCUGAACUGUUCCAUAGUGUUUCUUACUAUGGGACAGUUUGUUCAGAAUAUUUUUUUUUUUUUAAGGAAUUUUUUGUUCCUUACCACCCACUCUCCUGUCCCAUAAUGAUCUUUAACCCCCCUCCCCUGUCCCAUAGUUAUUUUAACCCCCCUUUCCUCUGUUCCAUAGUGAUUGUUAACCCCUCCUCCCCUUGUCCCAUAGUGUCCCCCCCUUGUCCCAUAGUGCACUUUCCCUCCCAUAGUGUCCACCCCUCCCCUUGUCCCAUAGUGUCCCACCCUCUCCUUGUCCAGUGUCCCACCCUCUCCUUGUCCCAUAGUGUCCCCUCCCCUUGUCCCACAGUGUCCCACCCUCCCCUUGUCCCAUAGUGUCCCCCUCCCCUUGUCACAUAAUUACUUACCUGUCUUGUAGCGUGGGCCGGCUUCACAGCGCGCUCCGCGGU